AUUGAACGCUGGCGGCGUGCCUAACACAUGCAAGUCGAACGCGAAAGGGACUUCGGUCCUGAGUAAAGUGGCGCACGGGUGAGUAACGCGUGGAUAAUCUGCCUUUGGGUGUGGGAUAACGGCUGGAAACGGUCGCUAAUACUGCAUAUUCAUCUAGUUUUACUAUUGGAUGUAAAGAUGGCCUCUGCAUAUGCUAUCGCCCAUUGAUGAGUCCGCGUCACAUUAGCUAGUUGGUGGGGUAAUAGCCUACCAAGGCAACGAUGGGUAGCCGGUCUGAGAGGACGACCGGCCACACUGGAACUGAAACACGGUCCAGACUCCUACGGGAGGCAGCAGUGGGGAAUAUUGCGCAAUGGGCGGAAGCCUGACGCAGCGACGCCGCGUGAGGGAUGAAGGUCUUCGGAUCGUAAACCUCUGUCAGAAGGGAAGAAGUUACAUGGUGCUAAUCAGCUAUGUAUUGACGGUACCUUCAAAGGAAGCACCGGCUAACUCCGUGCCAGCCGCCGCAGUAA
rnacentral:rRNA from 1 species